UACGAAGGGGGCUAGCGUUGUUCGGAAUUACUGGGCGUAAAGCGCACGUAGGCGGAUCGUUAAGUGAGGGGUGAAAUCCCAGGGCUCAACCCUGGAACUGCCUCUCAUACUGGCGAUCUCGAGUUCGAGAGAGGUGAGUGGAAUUGCGAGUGUAGAGGUGAAAUUCGUAGAUAUUCGCAGGAACACCAGUGGCGAAGGCGGCUCACUGGCUCGAUACUGACGCUGAGGUGCGAAAGCGUGGGGAGCAAACAGG
rnacentral:rRNA from 1 species